rnacentral:misc_RNA from 1 species
ACGUCGAAGGUGGGGCUGAUGACUGGGGUGAAGUCGUAACAAGGUAUCCGUACCGGAAGGUGCGGAUGGAUCACCUCCUAACAGGGAGACAAAACAAUGAUUUUGAUGUCUGAGUAUUUCAUUCUUAGGCCGAAAUCCUGUCACCUUAGGUCGAUCGGUACCUCAACAUUUUUCCAAAGAUUGGUGAGCAAUCAUCAAGAGAUUGGAAGGGAUGUUCAGUUCCUAAACUUUGUCUAGGUCACACCCCGCAAGGGAAGAGUCCCCUGGGCCAUUAGCUCAGGUGGUUAGAGCGCACCCCUGAUAAGGGUGAGGUCCCUGGUUCAAGUCCAGGAUGGCCCAUUCGGUGUUGGGGGUUUAGCUCAGUUGGUAGAGCGCCUGCUUUGCAAGCAGGAUGUCAGGAGUUCGAGUCUCCUAACCUCCACUGACAGAACUCAAUCUCCAUUGUCCGGUAACUCGGAGGAUGAACUCAAAGGUGUGUGAUUUAGAUGUGUCCACUAGAUAGGACCCUAGCUUCCUGUCAUUCCGAACAAGUAAUUAUGGCUUGAUUGGCUGAUAUGAUGCUGGGCUCAGAUUAAUCGAAAGAUUAAUUUGAUCUCUAGUAGAACCUUGACAACUGCAUAAGUAAGUCUGGAAAAACGAAGCAUCUUACAGAUGCAUUGUUUUAAGUCUGAAUUCUCGAAAGAGAGUUUAGAUCUAGAAUGAUGAAAAUUCUUUUAAGCAAGAGCCGAGACUCUUAGAUGUUCUUUUUAUCGUGUCGAGCGAUAAAGAGUUUGAUUUUGUUUUUAUGAGCAGCGAAAGUUACUGAUGAAACCAGAAGAAUCUGCUUUCAACCGCAGUAAGCGUUUAAGAGGUUAAUUGGUCAAGCUA